rnacentral:rRNA from 1 species
GAUGAACGCUGGCGGCGUGCCUAAUACAUGCAAGUCGAGCGAACAGAUAAGGAGCUUGCUCCUUUGACGUUAGCGGCGGACGGGUGAGUAACACGUGGAUAACCUACCUAUAAGACUGGGAUAACUUCGGGAAACCGGAGCUAAUACCGGAUAACAUAUUGAACCGCAUGGUUCAAUAGUGAAAGGCGGCUUUGCUGUCACUUAUAGAUGGAUCCGCGCCGUAUUAGCUAGUUGGUAAGGUAACGGCUUACCAAGGCAACGAUACGUAGCCGACCUGAGAGGGUGAUCGGCCACACUGGAACUGAGACACGGUCCAGACCCCUACGGGAGGCAGCAGUAGGGAAUCUUCCGCAAAGGGCGAAAGCCUGACGGAGCAACGCCGCGUGAGUGAUGAAGGUCUUCGGAUCGUAAAACUCUGUUAUCAGGGAAGAACAAAUGUGUAAGUAACUGUGCACAUCUUGACGGUACCUGAUCAGAAAGCCACGGCUAACUACGUG